rnacentral:rRNA from 1 species
UACGAAGGGAGCUAGCGUUGUUCGGAAUCAUUGGGCGUAAAGCGCACGUAGGCGGAUUUGUAAGUCAGGGGUGAAAUCCCGGGGCUCAACCUCGGAACUGCCUUUGAUACUGCAAAUCUCGAGUCCGAUAGAGGUGGGUGGAAUUCCUAGUGUAGAGGUGAAAUUCGUAGAUAUUAGGAAGAACACCGGUGGCGAAGGCGGCCCACUGGAUCGGUACUGACGCUGAGGUGCGAAAGCGUGGGGAGCAAACAGG